AGAUUGAACGCUGGCGGAAUGCUUUACACAUGCAAGUCGAACGGCAGCACGGGACUCAGGCAACUGAGCCCUGGUGGCGAGUGGCGAACGGGUGAGUAACAUAUCGGAACGUACCCAGUCGUGGGGGAUAACUCUCCGAAAGGAGAGCUAAUACCGCAUACGUCCUGAGGGAGAAAGCGGGGGACCUAAGGGUAACUGAGGGCCUCGCGCGAUUGGAGCGGCCGAUAUCGGAUUAGCUAGUUGGUGGGUAAGGCUCACCAAGGCGACGAUCCGUAGCGGGUCUGAGAGGACGACCCGGCCACACUGGAACCUGAGACACGGUCCAGACUCCUACGGGAGGCAGCAGUGGGAAUUUGGACAAUGGGGCAACCCUGAUCCAGCCAUUCCGCGUGACGUGAAGAAGGCCGUUCGGUUGUAAGCGUCUUUCAGCAGAACGAAACGGUACGACGUUUAAUAAACGUCGACGUAAUCGACGGUACCU
rnacentral:rRNA from 1 species